AUCCUUCUGCAGUUUAUAAGCAUGAAUAUUGGGUUCUCAUGCUAUUGUGUGAAAUGUGCCUUUCUUUCACUCUUUUUAACACAACAUCGGCACAUUAUCCAUUGGGGUGAAA
ensembl:snoRNA